rnacentral:rRNA from 1 species
UAACGCGAAGAACCUUACCUGGGUUUGACAUAUACCGGAAAGCUGCAGAGAUGUAGCCCCCUUUUGGUCGGUAUACAGGUGGUGCAUGGCUGUCGUCAGCUCGUGUCGUGAGAUGUUGGGUUAAGUCCCGCAACGAGCGCAACCCUCGUCCUAUGUUGCCAGCACGUAAUGGUGGGGACUCAUAGGAGACUGCCGGGGUCAACUCGGAGGAAGGUGGGGAUGACGUCAAGUCUUCAUGCCCCUUAUGUCCAGGGCUUCAAGCAUGCUACAAUGGCCGGUACAAAGGGCUGCGAAACCGCAAGGUGGAGCGAAUCCCAAAAAGCCGGUCUCAGUUCGGAUUGGGGUCUGCAACUCGACCCCAUGAAGUCGGAGUCGCUAGAAAUCGCAGAUCAGCAACGCUGCGGUGAAUACGUUCCCGGGUCUUGUACACACCGA